AGAGUUUGAUUAUGGCUCAGGAUGAACGCUGGCGGCGUGCCUAACACAUGCAAGUCGAACGAAGCGCAUGCCUGGAACCCUCCGGGGGGAAGGGCAUGUGACUGAGUGGCGGACGGGUGAGUAACGCGUGGGCAACCUGCCCCGCACUGGGGGACAACAGCCGGAAACGGCUGCUAAUACCGCAUAUGCGCACAGCUUUGCAUGAAGCAGUGUGGAAAACUCCGGUGGUGCGGGAUGGGCCCGCGUCUGAUUAGCUGGUUGGCGGGGCAACGGCCCACCAAGGCGACGAUCAGUAGCCGGCCUGAGAGGGUGGACGGCCACAUUGGGACUGAGACACGGCCCAGACUCCUACGGGAGGCAGCAGUGGGGGAUAUUGCACAAUGGGGGGAACCCUGAUGCAGCGACGCCGCGUGAGCGAAGAAGUACCUCGGUAUGUAAAGCUCUAUCAGCAGGGAAGAAAAUGACGGUACCUGACUAAGAAGCCCCGGCUAAAUACGUGCCAGCAGCCGCGGUAAUACGUAUGGGGCAAGCGUUAUCCGGAUUUACUGGGU
rnacentral:rRNA from 1 species